UACGGGGGGGGCAAGCGUUGUUCGGAAUUACUGGGUGUAAAGGGCUCGUAGGCGGCCAACUAAGUCAGACGUGAAAUCCCUCGGCUUAACCGGGGAACUGCGUCUGAUACUGGAUGGCUUGAGUUUGGGAGAGGGAUGCGGAAUUCCAGGUGUAGCGGUGAAAUGCGUAGAUAUCUGGAGGAACACCGGUGGCGAAGGCGGCAUCCUGGACCAACACUGACGCUGAUGAGCGAAAGCCAGGGGAGCAAACGGG
rnacentral:rRNA from 1 species